rnacentral:lncRNA from 1 species
UGUUAUAAAAAGAACAUAAUUUAAGAAAGAUUGCAUUCUAACUUUUAUCCUUAUUAGUAGUUUCUAUGCAAUUAUGGCAUUAAAGAGAUGGAGAAUCAAUAGCUAGCAGAUUCAAUUUAAGAGCCAUUAUUUGCUAACUUAUCAAAUGAGACAUUACAAUUAUCAUAACUUUCAAGACGAUGUAAUAGGGAUGAAGAUCUUCAAAUACAACAUAUUUUUUCUUGAAUAGAUG